rnacentral:misc_RNA from 1 species
GUCGAUGUGGAUCCCGCAUAUUUACCAACAGAUUCUCACAUUUUAGAUCAAAGUGAACAAUGUUUUUUCCAUGCAGAUACUCCAUACCAAAAGCAGCAUCCAUAGCAAUAAUAAGCCUUUUACGGCGAUCAAUAGUCCUGUCCUUUUUCUGUAAAAACUGUUUCAAUGAUCCAUUGACCAUGAAUUCUGUAACAGUUGCUAAAGAUCCAUCUGGUCCAUCACGAACUACACCGUAAAAAGAAACAACAUUUGGAUGGUGCAGUGAACUCAAUGUCAG